AUGGACAAGAAGUUAUCAUUGAAAUUAAAUGGUAGCAGACAUGUCCAAGGAAUAUUGUGGGGAUUUGAUCCCUUUAUGAAUCUUGCGAUAGAUGAAUGUAUGGAGACGGUGACUAGUGGGCAACAGAACAAUAUUGGAAUGGUGGUAAUAUGAGGAAAUAGUAUCAUCAUGUCAGAAGCCGUGGAAUGGGUAUAAAAAAUGGCUGUUCAGCAGAGAAACCCAUGUCCUCUCUCCACAGGACCUGUUUUACUAUGAUGUAAAAGUUAGGUCAUGUACAUUUUCAUAUUAGACUUUUUGUUAAAUAAACUUUUGUAAUAGUCAAAAAAAAAAAAAAAAAAAAAAA